UAUAUCUGCCUUUCCAAUAAAAAUAAAAUAAAUCUUUAAAAAAAAAAAAAGAUUAGCAUGGCCCCUGCGCAAGGAUGGCUUGCAAAUUCGUGAAGCACUCCAUAUUUAA